rnacentral:tRNA from 1 species
GCGGGCGUAGCCAAGUGGUAAGGCAGUAGCUUCCCAAGCUACCAUUCGCGAGUUCGAAUCUCGUCGCCCGCUCUA